rnacentral:rRNA from 1 species
GACGAACGCUGGCGGCGUGCCUAAUACAUGCAAGUCGAGCGAAUGGAAGGGAGCUUGCUCCCAGAAGUUAGCGGCGGACGGGUGAGUAACACGUGGGCAACCUGCCUGUAAGACUGGGAUAACUUCGGGAAACCGGAGCUAAUACCGGAUACGUUCUUUCCUCGCAUGAGGGAAGAUGGAAAGAUGGUUUCGGCUAUCACUUACAGAUGGGCCCGCGGCGCAUUAGCUAGUUGGUGGGGUAAUGGCCCACCAAGGCGACGAUGCGUAGCCGACCUGAGAGGGUGAUCGGCCACACUGGGACUGAGACACGGCCCAGACUCCUACGGGAGGCAGCAGUAGGGAAUCUUCCGCAAUGGACGAAAGUCUGACGGAGCAACGCCGCGUGAGCGAAGAAGGCCUUCGGGUCGUAAAGCUCUGUUGUCAGGGAAGAACAAGUGCCAGAGUAACUGCUGGCACCUUGACGGUACCUGACCAGAAAGCUACGGCUAACUACGUGCCAGCCGCCGCGGUAAGAC